AGAGGGGGACAACAGUUGGAAACGACUGCUAAUACCGCAUAAGCCCACGACCCGGCAUCGGGUUGAGGGAAAAGGAGCAAUCCGCUUUGAGAUGGCCUCGCGUCCGAUUAGCUAGUUGGUGAGGUAACGGCCCACCAAGGCAACGAUCGGUAGCCGGACUGAGAGGUUGAACGGCCACAUUGGGACUGAGACACGGCCCAGACUCCUACGGGGGGCAGCAGUGGGGAAUAUUGCACAAUGGGGGAAACCCUGAUGCAGCGACGCCGCGUGGAGGAAGAAGGUCUUCGGAUUGUAAACUCCUGUUGUUGAGGAAGAUAAUGACGGUACUCAACAAGGAAGUGACGGCUAACUACGUGCCAGCAGCCGCGGUAAAACGUAGGUCACAAGCGUUGUCCGGAAUUACUGGGUGUAAAGGGAGCGCAGGCGGGAAGACAAGUUGGAAGUGAAAUCCAUGGGCUCAACCCAUGAACUGCUUUCAAAACUGUUUUUCUUGAGUAGUGCAGAGGUAGGCGGAAUUCCCGGUGUAGCGGUGGAAUGCGUAGAUAUCGGGAGGAACACCAGUGGCGAAGGCGGCCUACUGGGCACCAACUGACGCUGAGGCUCGAAAGUGUGGGUAGCAAACAGGAUUAGAUACCCUGGUAGUCCACACCGUAAACGA
rnacentral:rRNA from 1 species